UACGGUGAAUACGUUCCCGGACCUUGUACACACCGCCCCGUCAAGCCAUGGAAGCUGGGUGUACCUAAAGUCGAUAACCGUAAGGAGUCGCCUAGGGUAAAACUAGUAACUGGGGCU
rnacentral:rRNA from 1 species